UACGUAGGGUGCAAGCGUUAAUCGGAAUUACUGGGCGUAAAGCGUGCGCAGGCGGCUUUGCAAGACAGAUGUGAAAUCCCCGGGCUUAACCUGGGAACCGCAUUUGUGACUGCAUGGCUGGAGUGUGGCAGAGGGGGAUGGAAUUCCGCGUGUAGCAGUGAAAUGCGUAGAUAUGCGGAGGAACACCGAUGGCGAAGGCAAUCCCCUGGGCCUGCACUGACGCUCAUGCACGAAAGCGUGGGGAGCAAACAGG
rnacentral:rRNA from 1 species